rnacentral:rRNA from 1 species
ACGGGAGGGGAUGGCUCCGCGGCCCAUCAGGUAGACGGCGGGGUGACGGCCCACCGUGCCGACAACGGGUAGCCGGGUUGAGAGACCGACCGGCCAGAUUGGGACUGAGACACGGCCCAGACUCCUACGGGAGGCAGCAGUGGGGAAUCUUGCGCAAUGGGGGGAACCCUGACGCAGCGACGCCGCGUGCGGGACGGAGGCCUUCGGGUCGUAAACCGCUUUCAGCAGGGAAGAGUCAAGACUGUACCUGCAGAAGAAGCCCCGGCUAACUACGUGCCAGCAGCCGCGGUAAUACGUAGGGGGCGAGCGUUAUCCGGAUUCAUUGGGCGUAAAGCGCGCGUAGGCGGCCCGGCAGGCCGGGGGUCGAAGCGGGGGGCUCAACCCCCCGAAGCCCCCGGAACCUCCGCGGCUUGGGUCCGGUAGGGGAGGGUGGAACACCCGGUGUAGCGGUGGAAUGCGCAGAUAUCGGGUGGAACACCGGUGGCGAAGGCGGCCCUCUGGGCCGAGACCGACGCUGAGGCGCGAAAGCUGGGGGAGCGAACAGGAUUAGAUACCCUGGUAGUCCCAGCCGUA